ACGCUCGACACCUACGGGAAGCAGCAGUGGGGAAUAUUGCACAAUGGGGGAAACCCUGAUGCAGCAACGCCGCGUGAAGGAAGACGGUUUUCGGAUUGUAAACUUCUGUUCUUAGUGAAGAUAGUGACGGUAGCUAAGGAGCAAGCCACGGCUAACUACGUGCCAACAGCCGCGGUAAUCUGAGCGGGCUGGCAAGGC
rnacentral:rRNA from 1 species